UACGUAGGGGGCAAGCGUUAAUCGGAAUUACUGGGCGUAAAGCGUGCGCAGGCGGUUUGGUAAGACAGGCGUGAAAUCCCCGGGCUUAACCUGGGAACUGCGUUUGUGACUGCCAGGCUAGAGUACGGCAGAGGGGGGUGGAAUUCCACGUGUAGCAGUGAAAUGCGUAGAGAUGUGGAGGAACACCAAUGGCGAAGGCAGCCCCCUGGGUCGAUACUGACGCUCAUGCACGAAAGCGUGGGUAGCAAACAGG
rnacentral:rRNA from 1 species